GCGAACGGGUGAGUAACGCGUGAGUAACCUGCCCUAGAGUGGGGGACAACAGUUGGAAACGACUGCUAAUACCGCAUAAGCCCACGGUGCCGCAUGACACUGAGGGAAAAGGAUUUAUUCGCUUUAGGAUGGACUCGCGUCCAAUUAGCUAGUUGGUGAGGUAACGGCCCACCAAGGCGACGAUUGGUAGCCGGACUGAGAGGUUGAACGGCCACAUUGGGACUGAGACACGGCCCAGACUCCUACGGGAGGCAGCAGUGGGGGAUAUUGCACAAUGGGGGAAACCCUGAUGCAGCGACGCCGCGUGGAGGAAGAAGGUUUUCGGAUUGUAAACUCCUGUCGUUAGGGACGAUAAUGACGGUACCUAACAAGAAAGCACCGGCUAACUACGUGCCAGCAGCCGCGGUAAAACGUAGGGUGCAAGCGUUGUCCGGAAUUACUGGGUGUAAAGGGAGCGCAGGCGGGAAGACAAGUUGGAAGUGAAAACCAUGGGCUCAACCCAUGAAUUGCUUUCAAAACUGUUUUUCUUGAGUAGUGCAGAGGUAGAUGGAAUUCCCGGUGUAGCGGUGGAAUGCGUAGAUAUCGGGAGGAACACCAGUGGCGAAGGCGGUCUACUGGGCACUAACUGACGCUGAGGCUCGAAAGCAUGGGUAGCAAACAGGAUUAGAU
rnacentral:rRNA from 1 species